CAGGGAGUCUAUUCCCCUGAGAACUCAAAAGAAAACCCCUAGGAUUGAGAAGUGUUGACGUAAAUUUGGUCGUGGACCCAUCUCUGUGGCCCUGUGGAUAAAAUGGAUGAAAUGUUGUAAUUGGCUUAGCCCACAUCAAUCACCUGCUCCAAUUCUGGAGCCAGAUUGUGACAUCAACUCCUCCAGAGUGAGAAAAUGAGCCACUGUUUUCUUCACUGAGGGGCUUGCGUGAGUGGAGAAGAAAGAAGGCUGAUCAUCCCCUGAUCCCUACACUUCCAGAAAAGUGGAUUCCAUCCUGGCAACUAAAAUGAUGGCAGAAUCCAGACUCUUCAGAACCAGGAGCAGCAAGGCCUCAAGAAGACCCAGAUAUUAGUGCCAUCUUCCUCACUAUCUAUUCAGCCCUGC
rnacentral:lncRNA from 1 species